rnacentral:rRNA from 1 species
AAUAGAUACCCUGGUAGUCCACCCCGUAAACGUUGGGAACUAGUUGUAGGGUCCUUUCCACGGAUUCCGUGACGCAGCUAACGCAUUAAGUUCCCCGCCUGGGGAAUACGGCCGCAAGGCUAAAACUCAAAGGGAUUGACGGGGACCCGCACAAGCGGCGGAGCAUGCGGAUUAAUUCGAUGCAACGCGAAGAACCUUACCAAGGCUUGACAUACACCAGAACACCCUAGAAAUAGGGGACUCUUUGGACACUGGUGAACAGGUGGUGCAUGGUUGUCGUCAGCUCGUGUCGUGAGAUGUUGGGUUAAGUCCCGCAACGAGCGCAACCCUCGUUCUAUGUUGCCAGCACGUAAUGGUGGGAACUCAUGGGAUACUGCCGGGGUCAACUCGGAGGAAGGUGGGGAUGACGGUCAAAUCAUCAUGCCCCUUAUGUCUUGGGCUUCACGCAUGCUACAAUGGCCGGUACAAAGGGCUGCAAUACCGUGAGGUGGAGCGAAUCCCAAAAAGCCGGUCCCAGUUCGGAUUGAGGUCUGCAACUCGA